GUGUCAGCCGCCGCGGUAAGACGGAGGGGGCUAGCGUUGUCCGGAUUUAUUGGGCGUGAAGAGCGCGUAGGCGGCCUUUUAAGUCGGCUGUGAAAUCGCUGGGCUUAACUCAGCAACUGCAGUCGAUACUGAUGGGCUCGAGUUCGGGAGAGGGAAGUGGAAUUGCUGGUGUAGCGGUGGAAUGCGUAGAGAUCAGCAAGAACACCGGUGGCGAAGGCGGCUUCCUGGACCGAUACUGACGCUGAGGCGCGAAAGCUAGGGGAGCGAACGGGAUUAGAUACCCCGGUAGUCCUAGCCGUAAACGAUGGUCACUAGGUGUUGGGGGUAUCGACCCCCCCAGUGCCGCAGCUAACGCAUUAAGUGACCCGCCUGGGGAGUACGGCCGCAAGGCUGAAACUUAAAUGAAUUGACGGGG
rnacentral:rRNA from 1 species